UUGGAGGGCAAGUCUGGUGCCAGCAGCCGCGGUAAUUCCAGCUCCAAUAGCGUAUAUUAAAGUUGUUGCAGUUAAAAAGCUCGUAGUUGAAUUUCGGGAUCAGAUUGUCGGUCGUGCCUCGGUACGCACUGGUAUUAUUGGUUCCUACCUUCUGAAGAACCGCGAUGUCAUUAAUUUGGUGUCGUGGGGAAUCAGGACUGUUACUUUGAAAAAAUUAGAGUGUUUAAAGCAGGCUUACGCUUGAAUACAUUAGCAUGGAAUAAUGAAAUAGGACGUUUGAUUCUAUUUUGUUGGUUUCUAGGAUUGACGUAAUGAUUAAUAGGGAUAGUUGGGGGCAUUAGUAUUCAAUUGUCAGAGGUGAAAUUCUUGGAUUUAUUGAAGACUAACUACUGCGAAGGCAUUUGCCAAGGAUGUUUUCAUUAAUCAAGAACGAAAGUUAGGGGAUCGAAGACGAUCAGAUACCGUCGUAGUCUUAACCAUAAACUAUGCCGACUAGGAAUCGGAUGAUGUUAAUUUUUUAAUGACUCAUUCGGCGCCUUACGGGAAACCAAAGUGUUUGGGUUC
rnacentral:rRNA from 1 species